CUGCGGCCCGCAGGGGGAGGCGCAGGGCCUGGCGCAGGGCCCGGCUGCCGGCACUUGCUCACGGAAGGAGAAAUGCUGUGGCAGAAAGUCUCGUCUCACAUGACCACAUCCGCGACUGGGCGAUCGUGGUGAUUUCUAAAAGUACAGUGGGGACGACUGGGAGGAAGUAUUUACACCAAUAAAAACUAUCCCUGAGAUCCAGAAUCUGACCUUGAAAAUGAGAAUAGUGGAAUAUGGGACCUUACAGAAGCCCCUUAGAUCGGAAAGAAGGAUAAGAAUGCUUGGACAAGAUCAUUCUCAACAGUAGCAGAGUACAACGCACUGGCUUCUCUCUGGCCAAGUAGAACAACUUACCAGAUACAGCCAGAGGCAGAGACCAGCUGGCAAGCAAGCUUCUACUAAAGUAGGGAAAACACGCACCCUGUUUCUAAAAAAACAAAGACAGAAGCUUCAGAAAUACAUCCAGAUCCACAUGUCACUGGAUUAGAAUAUUGAUACCAAUACAAUUAGACCAGAGUUAAUGAGAUCAGAAGUCUAACUGCAUGUUCAUACCUUAAGAGCCCCAUCACAUUUGGUCACUAGAAUGACUACGAUACUGAGUUGUUUAGCUGCUAUUGUAUUUAGCAUGUUAUUGAACAUAUGACAUGCUCCCCUUGCUUUGAUUGAUACCAAUCAAUAUUACCAUGGAUAACUGCUCUUUGUCACUGAAAGUGAAUUUUUGAGACAGAAGGUGUUACUGAGAUGUUGGGUAUCUGUCUUUGGAUUAUUUCUUUUAAAAAUAAAUAAAUGAAAAUGUGUAACUUAGUUCA
rnacentral:lncRNA from 1 species